rnacentral:rRNA from 1 species
AUUGAACGCUGGCGGAAUGCUUUACACAUGCAAGUCGAACGGCAGCACGGGGGCAACCCUGGUGGCGAGUGGCGAACGGGUGAGUAAUGUAUCGGAACGUGCCCAGUCGUGGGGGAUAACGUAGUGAAAAUUACGCUAAUACCGCAUACGAUCUACGGAUGAAAGCGGGGGAUCGCAAGACCUCGCGCGAUUGGAGCGGCCGAUAUCAGAUUAGGUAGUUGGUGGGGUAAAGGCUCACCAAGCCGACGAUCUGUAGCUGGUCUGAGAGGACGACCAGCCACACUGGAACUGAGACACGGUCCAGACUCCUACGGGAGGCAGCAGUGGGGAAUUUUGGACAAUGGGCGCAAGCCUGAUCCAGCCAUUCCGCGUGCAGGAUGAAGGCCCUCGGGUUGUAAACUGCUUUUGUACGGAGCGAAAAGGCUCUCUCUAAUACAGGGGGCUCAUGACGGUACCGUAAGAAUAAGCACCGGCUAACUACGUGCCAGCAGCCGAC